AUGACAGGUGCCAAUAAUGCAAGAAGAGGGGCAGGGAGUGAACCCAGAUGAAGGCAGCAGCUCAGAGAACUGUCAUGAAGCUGAAAGGAGUGAUGAGCGCAGAACUUCUAGAGGUCUAAAAGGAGGAGGACUUAAUUGGCAAUUAGAUGUAGACCUGGAGACAGAGCAUGGGAAGGAACCUGACUGUAUAAAUGGAAGAGACAUCUGAAAUGCUGAAGAACAAGGACUUCCAAGCUAUGAAGUGUUUGCAACUAUUUCCUGAUACCGCUUCACCCUGGAAAAAGUGAGCUUGAAUACUAUAUUCACUCGAACAUUAGGAGCAGCAGCAGAAGAAAAUCUGAAGUGGCCAUCUGCCAUCCAGCCCUAGAAUCAUCCUUAAUUUUGUUUCAUGGUGACACUCCUGCCUGGUUCAAGACAUAGCUGACAGACCUCCCUUUCACUUGAAGUCUCCAUGUCCGAUAAAAAAUGGGAUACUUGAGUUUAUGCAGCUGUUCACCAGCUAAUUAUCUGCAAUCAUUUCUGAUUACUUAAUAGGCCAUGGUAGGAUGUGUGUUUGCUGCUAUGCAGAGUUUACACAUUAGG